GAGGAAGUCGAUGUUCAUUUCUCAUAGGAAGUGCAAGGAGCCUACCUUUCUACUUCUCUUAAAGCCCCUACUGCAACAAAGCACUUCUGUGUUUAAUGAAGUGUGGCAUGUCGAGGGUGAGGGGACUGCUGGUGGCGUGAGAGGCAGAGCCAUGUGAUAGCUAUGAGUGUGAGUGUUUCCAGAGGAGCUGGAUUCCAUCUCCUGGGGAAAGGAUGUCCUGAAGGACCCAUGAUUCUGCACUUCUGAAGAAAUUUGAGAAAGAUGCAAAGCACUGCACCUGACACAUUUUGUUUCUCACAGUGCAAAGUCACUGAAAGAGUCCAAACUUGUCCUGCAACUUGGAAAAUAUUACCAUUUUUCCCCCUUUUACCAGCUUAACUUUCAUCAACAAGAGGAGAAAAAUGAAAAGGCUAAGCAAAGAGCUGCUGAGGGGAGAGCCUGAAUUCUUCUAUCUCAAUUUAUUCUCAGCCUACCCUUGUUCAGAUCACAUUUAUCUUCUGCUUAUUCCCUGGAUACAGAGGGGUUCAAGUCAUGGUGCUGGGCAAUAAGAAGGCACCAGUGUGACAAAAGGCUGAGUGUUGAGAAGACCUCCUAUGUAUUGCAGCCUUUCUGCUUCACUAUCCUCAGUCUAUCUGGGAGAUGACAUGGAACUUCAUUACCUCAAGCCUGUCUGCCUGCCUGUCUACUGAGAAUUUUGCAUCAUUUUAUCUAAUGAUACCAGGCACUGUCUGCCAACUUGCUUGUUAGGAGUCCACUCCUCUUUUUGUUUCAGUGGUGCUAAGUAUGCAAAAUAAGGCAAUGACUAGGGUUAUAAUCCCACAUCUCACUAGUGCUUGAGAAUUCUAUCGUUCACAAUGGCAGUAUAAAUGAGCAUAGAGAACAAACACAAAGCUCUUUGCUUUGCACUCCAUAGUUAUGUUUUCCAACAUGGAAUGUUUUGUUCAAUAAUCUUAUUUGGGGUUAACCUCUCCUUCUUAUAUCUAUAUCUGUUUAACAUCAAAAUUUCAAAACUUUAGCAAGGAAGCUGUAAUUUAAAUCAAACAUACUAACUAAAAGAUCUCCCUAGUGAUUGUGAGCUUUUCAGCUUCUAUAAACUGAAUUUGAUGUGCCAAUAUUCAGUAUUUGCUCUGACUCCCCUUUGCCACACUACAGUGACAAAUAGAUUCUAGAUUAUGACUUAAUGGUUACCACCUCCAUUUUUCUUCAUUUCCAGAGUCUUUUACAUUCAGCUUUUCUUUCUCUUUUCUUAUUGCAAAUAUUGGUAAUUACUAGAAAAGCAUCUUAUUACUUCCGUUACAAAGGAUUCUCAACUUAUUUGAAACAUAAGAGCUUCUCCAAUCUAUACAGUCUCUCUGAUACAGUAUUUUGCAAGAACUUUUACAAAUCCAUUAACAAUGUUUCUGAGUUUACCUAAAAGCAUACUAGGCAGAAAGUAGUCAUAUGCAUCUAAUUAUCAAAGCAGGCUGAUAUCUAUUGCCUAGCAUGCACAGAAAAGUGAUUAAUUUUAACCUUUUUAGGGUUUGUACUUAAGAGCUUCAGUACAGAGUUUUUCUAUUUAAAUAUGCUUUGUCUGCCUCUUUGAUACAUUCACAGUGUGUUCUUAUUUACAUUAUUUUAAGGAGACAUAGUAAAAAGGAAAGAAAGCUGUUGCCCUGAUAUAAUUUUUGUUUAUUAUUGAUAUGUAUAGUCAGCCAGAAAGAUGUUUCUCCAGAAAUGAUUUUUAACUACAGUCAUCUUUUUAAUCCUAUAAAAUUCUAAUGUGACUGAAGAACUGAUAGAGAUCAUAGAAAAAAAUGUUGAAAGGUAGGGGAUUUAUAGACCCACUCUUUAAAACUCUUUGUUUUGCUUUUAUUUCUUGUUAAUACCCAUCUAGGAACACACUUAAUUAACAUUCUGGAUGAAACGUAACAUUAUUAAGGCUUCACUACACUCAUAGACACCUUUCAAUUAAGGUGCUUGAGUUCACAUUAAACAUGCUUUGCAAUCCCCAGAAAAAUCUUUAAGGAAAACCAGCAGUCUUGACAAUUUUAUGUUAAGUAAGGAGUUUUGUUCUUUAUUUAUUUGUUUCUUUGUGUGUGUGUGUGUUUAAAAAACAGCCUUCAGGCCUUUUGCAAAAAGAAGUUAAAAUGCUUUGGAAAUGUCUAAUUUUUAAAAGUCUCUGGCUAACCUCCAGCUUUUGCUGCUUUUUUAAGAAGCAGUGCUUUGUAGAGGCCAGCAUUUUCACUGGGAUUUCCUGGCUCUACAUAGCAUUGUACUGAAUUUGAACCACCUCACAUUUUUAUGAAGGAGCAAAGUAGCUCUGGUUUAAUACAUGAACAAAUCAGUGCCUAUCAAGGCUGUGGAAGAAACUGCUGUUCCGGAAUCAGGUCUUUGAUCCCCAAAGUUUGUGUACCUUCCUUCUCUCGUUAUCAACUAUUUUGCAUACUUUUCUUGUGCUGUUGUGCCAGACUAAUGAUAUUUUGUUAUAAUUUCAUUAUAAAAUGAACUUCAGUAACACAUUAAAGAAAUUAAAUUAAAUUAAUGAAUGUUUAUGUUGUUGUCUUUUUUUUUCCUAUGGAAGACUGAAAGUAUUAAUCAAAGUAAAUGCCAAAAAGUAAUAAUUUUCAAGUACUGCUUUUUCUGCCUUUUCUAGCUUUUGUCCAAGCUAAACUUUCUUUCCUCUCUCUCCUUUUCUUUUCUUUUUUCUUUUUUUUAAACUUAGAUAAACUAUCUUUCUUUCUAAGCACUACUUAUGGUUUCAAAAAAAAUGGAAGUAAUCUAGAGUUCACUUAAAGAUCAAGUGCUUGUGUUUUCAAGUAUCUUGAAAGUUUAUUAAUGCUUUCCAACUCAU
ensembl:lncRNA